rnacentral:rRNA from 1 species
CCCGAUUAGCCUGCUAGUUGUGCGGGUUUAGACCCGCAGCGGAAAGCUCAGUAACACGUGGCCAAGCUACCCUGUGGACGGGAAUACUCUCGGGAAACUGAGGCUAAUCCCCGAUAACGCUUUGCUCCUGGAAGGGGCAAAGCCGGAAACGCUCCGGCGCCACAGGAUGCGGCUGCGGUCGAUUAGGUAGACGGUGGGGUAACGGCCCACCGUGCCCAUAAUCGGUAACGGGUUGUGAGAGCAAGAGCCCGGAGACGGAAUCUGAGACAAGAUUCCGGGCCCUACGGGGCGCAGCAGGCGCGAAACCUUUACACUGUACGAAAGUGCGAUAAGGGGACUCCGAGUGUGAAGGCAUAGAGCCUUCACUUUUGUACACCGUAAGGUGGUGCACGAAUAAGGACUGGGCAAGACCGGUGCCAGCCGCCGCGGUAAUACCGGCAGUCCGAGUGAUGGCCGAUCUUAUUGGGCCUAAAGCGUCCGUAGCUGGCUGAACAAGUCCGUUGGGAAAUCUGUCCGCUUAACGGGCAGGCGUCCAGCGGAAACUGUUCAGCUUGGGACCGGAAGACCUGAGGGGUACGUCUGGGGUAGGAGUGAAAUCCUGUAAUCCUGGACGGACCGCCGGUGGCGAAAGCGCCUCAGGAGAACGGAUCCGACAGUGAGGGACGAAAGCUAGGGUCUCGAACCGGAUUAGAUACCCGGGUAGUCCUAGCUGUAAAUCGAUGUCCGCUAGGUGUGGCGCAGGCUACGAGCCUGCGCUGUGCCGUAGGGAAGCCGAGAAGCGGACCGCCUGGGAAGUACGUCUGCAAGGAUGAAACUUAAAGGAAUUGGCGGGGGAGCACUACAACCGGAGGAGCCUGCGGUUUAAUUGGACUCAACGCCGGACAUCUCACCAGCCCCGACAGUAGUAAUGACGGUCAGGUUGAUGACCUUACCCGAGGCUACUGAGAGGAGGUGCAUGGCCGCCGUCAGCUCGUACCGUGAGGCGUCCUGUUAAGUCAGGCAACGAGCGAGACCCGCACUCCUAAUUGCCAGCAGUACCCUUUGGGUAGCUGGGUACAUUAGGUGGACUGCCGCUGCCAAAGCGGAGGAAGGAACGGGCAACGGUAGGUCAGUAUGCCCCGAAUGGGCUGGGCAACACGCGGGCUACAAUGGUCGAGACAAUGGGAAGCCACUCCGAGAGGAGGCGCUAAUCUCCUAAACUCGAUCGUAGUUCGGAUUGAGGGCUGAAACUCGCCCUCAUGAAGCUGGAUUCGGUAGUAAUCGCGUKCAGCAGCGCGCGAUUCCAU